CCUAGAGGCUAGCGCCGCAGUCUUUUGAGUCUGAGAACCAUUGAUACAUUCAAGUACAGUAUUAGCAGGUCAGCAUAUUCAAGGUUGACAUGGCUCGGGCAGUACAACACAGCAGUGCACAGUUAGAGGCUGUAGGUCUGUCUGUCCCACCUGUGACGGAAUCAAAAGGCUUCUCAAGGACAGCAAUGAGAAGGGGCUGAGCGUUGGGGGUGGGGCGCGCAGUUUGUUUGACUUUACAUGUUACUAUAAAAGGGAACGAAGUCAAAAGAGAUGUCAUUGCUAUUCCACCACCUUUAAAAGAAUAAGUGUGAAAGUUCCCUGUUAAAGAAGAACAAGGGGCGCUGGGGGAAAGGCUCUCUAAAGGCGCCACCAUGAGAGACCCACAACAGACCAGAGCUCCACCCUGGAACCCUCAUGAGAACUGGGAUGUGAUUCCAUACAUCUGUAUUUCCGGCACUCCUACAAAGAAAAUGGCAAAUGGGGGCAGGAGAAUCCACCUGUUUCACAGAUCAGCUAUUGCGGGAUAUGAAAUGCAGCAGAGACCAUAAGAGAAACCCUGUCUCAAAAGGUGGAAGGAGAAAAUUGAUCAUCAAAAUCACCCAGCUACAAAUCCUGUGACCUACAACAGAGACCUGCCUGGAAGAAACACUGGCACAGUCUUGACACAUAAUCAUCAUGACCCCAUGAAUUCCGCACAUAUGCUGUCUGUCUGCAUUUCUGCUGGGGAGACAGAGGCUCAGCAAGCCGGACAGCAGACAACAAACAGGCAGAGCUGGAAUUCACAGUUAGGUAUUCACCACGGCAAAGCUGUUUUCCACUGCUUCAUCUCAUUGAGUGUGCACAUCUGCUCCCGUUUUGAUUGCCUCCUGGAAACUGGAGUGUACUUGUGGCCUAGGAAAGAAAUCCUGCCCAUGUUGUUCAUAGAAGGAAAAUCCUGGUCCAUAAAA